AACGCGAAGAACCUUACCUGGGCUUGAACCGCACAGGACCAGCUUUAGAAAUAGAGCCUUCCCGCAAGGGACCUGUGUAGAGGUGCUGCAUGGCUGUCGUCAGCUCGUGCCGUGAGGUGUUGGGUUAAGUCCCGCAACGAGCGCAACCCUUACUCCUAGUUGCUACCCGCAAGGGAGAACUCUAGGAGGACUGCUCCGGAUAACGGAGAGGAAGGUGGGGAUGAGGUCAAGUCAGCAUGGCCUUUAUGUCCAGGGCUACACACGUGUUACAAUGCGCGCUACAAAGUGUCGCGAACCCGCGAGGGGGAGCUAAUCGCAAAAAAGCGCGCUCAGUUCGGAUUGCAGUCUGCAACUCGACUGCAUGAAGCCGGAAUCGCUAGUAAUGGCGCAUCAGAUCGGCGCCGUGAAUACGUUCCCGGGCCUUGUACACACCGAUAGC
rnacentral:rRNA from 1 species